GUAAAGGCAAAAGAGAGCUUGAUUGCAAGACAUACAGGUCGAGCAAGGAUGAAAAUCGGACUUAGUGAUCCGGUGGGUCUGCGUGGAAGGGCCAUCGCUCAACGGAUAAAAGCUACCCUGGGGAUAACAGGCUUAUCUCCCCCAAGAGUCCACAUCGACGGGGAGGUUUGGCACCUCGAUGUCGGCUCAUCACAUCCUGGGGCUGUAGUAGGUCCCAAGGGUUGGGCUGUUCGCCCAUUAAAGUGGUACGCGAGCUGGG
rnacentral:rRNA from 1 species